GACGAACGCUGGCGGCGCGCUUAACACAUGCAAGUCGAACGGAAAGGCCUGCUUUCCCUUGUGGAUUGCGGGUACUCGAGUGGCGAACGGGUGAGUAACACGUGAGUGAUCUGCCCCCAACUUGGGUAUAAGCCUGGGAAACUGGGUCUAAUUCCCGAUAGGACUGCAGGGUGGUGCCUGUGGUGGAAAACGAUUUUCUAGUGGUUGGGGAUGAGCUCGCGGCCUAUCAGCUUGUUGGUGGGGUAAUGGCCUACCAAGGCGGGGACGGGUAGCCGGCCUGAGAGGGUGGACGGCCGCAUUGGGACUGGGAUACGGCCCAGACUCCUACGGGCGGCAGCAGUGGGGAAUAUUGCGCAGUGGGCGGAAGCCUGAUGCAGCGACGCCGCGUGGGGGAUGACGGCCUUCGGGUUGUAAACUCCUUUCGACCGCGAGGAAGCCACCUGGUUGGAAGGGUGGUGACGGUAGUGGUAGAAGAAGCACCGGCUAACUACGUG
rnacentral:rRNA from 1 species